rnacentral:lncRNA from 1 species
AAUUUGUGUCAGCUAACAAGCGCCGGGCCCAGACAAGCAGGCCUUCUCUUGCUCCCAUUGGCUCCAUCGUCCCAAACAAGAAAUCACGGUUAAGGGAGUCAUACGCCUUAGCUACAUCCAGAAAGGCAACCACAUAGGUAAUUAGGGAAAGUCCUCAGUCCCGCUAAGGUGAUGUCCGACGCAUGUGGUGGUUUGUGGUGGGGUUGCAGGGUGGCGGCAAACUGGCAGUCGGGCCGGUACGGCAUCCCCCCUAACUGCCCAAACUGAUGAGUAAUCACGAGCUCGCCAUUUUGGCAAGUUCCAUGCCAUGGGCAAUGAGUUCCACGCGGAGCCAAGCAAACAAAUACUAAAGUCCCAACGCCAAGAGGUUACCUUGCUUUCUGAAGCAUAGCGCGGCAACUCCAAGCCCACCUCAGCUCCUUGCUCCUAAUUAGCAACAAUAUCCUCGCAUUAUUGCUGCUGUGUAUUUGCAAGUAGCAAUUGAGUCCGCGGACUAUUUCAUCACUGCGACAUCCCUGACGCAACCGUAACCUGCAAAGACAAUGAAGAACUCCGACAGCUCCGACCACAAUUAAAGGCGCACUACAGCGCCAUCGCCGCUCGUAGUUAGACACGUUUGAAUUUAAGCGUUAGCUUGUUCUUUGCAUGCAAAAUGAUUAAAUACACGCGCCCACGACAGAAGGGGAAAAAGGGGAGUCAUAUGGAUCAACAUACUUAAACAAAAGAUAUGUACAAUAUAUGUUCUAUGGCUUAUUGCCGUCAUUUAUAAUGGACCCCAGAAUCUAGUCACAAUAACUCUCUUGGAGCGUCCUGGGAGCUGCCGGCUGUGAGGUUUGGUGGCUAAGUCACUGGCAGUACGCAUCACUCGUACAGCUGUUGUACCUAAGCAAAUGCAGCCGGGGCUGGCAUGCCACGAUACUGUAGCUCUCGUGCUUCUUGGCACAACGCACAUACGGGACAC